UACCCAUAGUAUAAUAGAAGUGGCAUCACUUUAUUAAUAAAGAUUUAUCACUCGAAGAUGGCUGUGCGGCUGAUUAGGUAGUUGGCGGGGUAAAGGCCCACCAAGCCUGCGAUCAGUAAACUGGUGUGAGAGCACGACCAGUCACACGGGCACUGAGACACGGGCCCGACUCCUACGGGAGGCAGCAGUAAGGAAUAUUGGUCAAUGGAGGCAACUCUGAACCAGCCAUGCCGCGUGGAGGAUGAAGGUCCUCUGGAUUGUAAACUUCUUUUAUAUGGGACGAAAAAAGGCUUUUCUAAGUCGUCUGACGGUACCAUAUGAAUAAGCACCGGCUAACUCCGUG
rnacentral:rRNA from 1 species